rnacentral:rRNA from 1 species
GCUCCAAUAGCGUAUAUUAAAGUUGUUGCGGUUAAAAAAGCUCGUAGUUGGAUUUCUGCCGAGGACGAACGGUCCACACUUCGUGUGCGUAUCUGUCUCUUCCUGGGCAUCUUCUUGGAGAACGUUGCUGCACUUGAUUGUGUGGUGCGGUAUCCAGGACAUUUACUUUGAGGAAAUUAGAGUGUUUCAAGCAGGCAUUU